rnacentral:rRNA from 1 species
UACAGAGGCGGCAAGCGUUGUUCGGAAUUAUUGGGCGUAAAGAGCAUGUAGGCGGCUAUGUAAGUCGGUUGUGAAAGCCUUCCGCUUAACGGAAGAAUGGCGGCCGAAACUGCAUGGCUUGAGUGCGGUAGGGGAGAGUGGAACUUCUGGUGGAGCGGUGAAAUGCGUAGAUAUCAGAAGGAACGCCGGCGGCGAAAGCGACUCUCUGGACCGUAACUGACGCUGA